UGGAAGCUGGUUUCACAUGGUGGCUUAGAUUUUCCCACUUUGCAUCUAGCACCAUUUGAAAUCAGUGUUCU
rnacentral:pre_miRNA from 1 species